GACGAACGCUGGCGGCGUGCUUAACACAUGCAAGUCGAACGAUGAACCCGGACCUUGCUCUGGGGGACUAGUGGCGAACGGGUGAGUAACACGUGAGUAACCUGCCCUGGACUUUGGGAUAAGCGCUGGAAACGACGUCUAAUACCGGAUAGGACCUUGGAUCGCAUGAUCUGGGGUGGAAAGUUUCUUCGGUUUGGGAUGGACUCGCGGCCUAUCAGCUUGUUGGUGAGGUAGUGGCUUACCAAGGCUUUGACGGGUAGCCGGCCUGAGAGGGUGACCGGACACGGUGGGAGUGACGUACCACACAGCCACGUGCGGGAGCAAGGGGUGGGGUAGCACGCUGAACGAGAGCAUGAUUGAGCAAGGACGCGUGCGUGAGGACUGACUGCGUGUGGGUUGCCACCUGUAUUAGCGAAUAACGACGUCUGCGUGACGGUACCUGCAGAAGAAGGACCGGCUAACUACGUG
rnacentral:rRNA from 1 species